UUUGGGACGGCGGGUGUCAGACAUAUGGUUUUACGUGUAUGAGUGUGCCGGUCGGUUGGCGGUGGUAUGACGGUUGAUAGUGCGUCUCGCCAACACCGCCGCCGCCGGAGCCAUUUACCGGCGCGGGACGUGGCGGGUGGAAGGACGGAUGGACGUAAUGUAAAGGGGGGAUGAGGUCGGAGGGUCGUCUAGCCGGUCGGUGCCGCGACGGCGUUCGGGUGAAAGACCCAGACGGUAGACGUAGGGAAACGGCUGGGCCGUUUUGUAUAUGUGUUAUAGGAGAAGGUGAUGAUCGGAGGGAUGGAUAAACGGCGUGUCGUCGGAUGAAAACCCGAAUGGUGGGGUGGGGACAAGUAAGGAGGGAGGGAUAUGUUCCCCGUCUGAGUGUGGCAGUCGCUGGUGUUCGCCCGCCAUUCGGUUGCCAACUUGUGUAUGUGUGCGUGUGGCGGCCCGCCCUUCCGUCUGUCUGUCGUCCGAUCGUCCGUUAGUUCGUAACGCCACCAUGGCCGCCGAUUUUUCGCACGAUCGUUCGACAAGUAUUCGACAACGGCCUUUGAGCACGCCGAUUUAACUGUAGGAGGCCAUUCGCGCGUGGCGGCCCACAACAGGCCUUUGUCGUCAUACCGCGCCGGUGUAUGCCAUGCCGGCGGUGGUGGCACGCCGACACUUCGUCGAGCGACGAACAUUCGCCGGCGGAUCGCCGUCGCCGACGGCCGGCUUUUGACGUUCACCGACUUUUUUUUAUCUCGACGGCCUUUGAAAAUAAAUUCAAAUUUUUUUUAGACCGUGUACGGAUAAAUUUUUAAAUAUUAAUUUUGCCAAAAUUUUUAGUUAUGAAACCAAAACGCGUGCAGUUUUCGCGAAAUAUUACGAAUUUUUUUUUUAUAAAAUAAAUUACGUUUGAUAUGAAGACUACUCGAAAUCAUCGGUACCAAAUACCAGUGUCAUGAAGUUGCCCUCAAGUUUUAAAAAGGUCCUGACUCGGUUAGUUUCAUUUCUCAAUUUAGUCAUUAUGCGAAAAGAUAUUUAAAAUAUUUUAUGGUCCAACCGAUUUGUAGAUGCAGCUGUAAAGACAACAACGGCAAAACCUUCAAGAUAAUUCCAGUGAUUGGUGUGAGGAGCCAAGUGUAAAUUUUACUCUGCUGACAAUGAUAAUUAAGGAAAUUAUUCUACCUGGUCGACGGUGCUUAUUCAAACAUGUCUAGCAAUAUGACGUAGAUAAUAUCGAGUUACACCAGUUAUGAAGCAGGGUUGAUAAUUUGUGUGAUUAUUUGUCGAGAUUGCGACUGCUCGAGGGAAAUGUCUUGUGUUUCGACGGCCUUGAGCUGUCGACUAGACAGUUCAGAUUAUUCAUAUAAACAUAUUAAACAAUGUAUUGCCAUAAGACAUCCAUUAUUACACAGUCGUAUUUUUGAUGCUCAUCAAGACUUGGCAAAUAAAAAAAAAAAAAAACACUCAGUUUUUGUGUCGAUGAGUCGUUGAACAUUGAGGAACCGUCUGGUGUAUAGUAAGACAAUAAUGAACAUUAUAUGCACGUUGAACUACACGCAUAUUCAAAUGAAUUACUACUAUGGGCGAAUUUUUUUUUUUUUUUUCACAACGAGGUACUAGACGUUAUUAUUAUUAUAAAAUGUGUAGGUACCUAUAUAAUAAUGAUUUUUCGUCAUGAUAUUAUAUUGUACUGUAACUGCAAGACGCGACGAACGAAAUGGGGUUACAUAAAUCCUAGACGGACGAAUAAUAAUAAUAAUAAUAAUAAUAAUAAUAAUGAUGAUAAUGACCUCCAGACGGGUAGGCGGCUUUACCUCUAUGGUUGUAAGCGUACAGACUAUGAAAAAAUUCAUAUGUUUGUUGUACAAAUACACGUAGUUUGGCUAUGGCGAUUGACGACACGAUAAACUUUGGGAUAUAAUUUGCAUAAAUUUCAUCUUUUUCCAUCGGAACACUUAAUGCUCAAAUAAAGUAAGUCGGUUGACCGUUUGGGCAAGUCAGUCAGUAUACGGUACUGAACGUUUUAUUCAGACCGUUCGUGUGUAGAGUAGUAAUUGCACAUUUGAAUUACCAUACAACGAUUCAGGGGAAUUGUGAUUAUAAUUAUUUUUUUUUUAGAUAUGGAAAAAAUAAGUAUUAUUUACAAAACCUUGGUAUAGGUUACUAUCAAAAUAAUUUUUGCUUUUUAGUUUCCUUUGGUUGUAAUCAGAUAAUUCGUUUAGUAGAAAAACUAAUUUUUAACAUUCAUAAAAGAAACAAGCAAAAUAUUUUAGGCAAUUUUUUUUCGAGCAAUUGUAAUUAAAUUCCGUUUUUACACGGUUGACCUAUAUUUUACUGAGUCGGUAAACGAUAAAAAAUUACGCGCUUGUGCGAUUAGUUUUAAAAACACAAAAGGUUAAAAAAUAAUUCACUA